UCCCUGGUGGUCCAGUGGUUGGGACUCUGAGCUUCCAAAGCAGGGGUUGCAGGUACAAUCCCUGGUUGGGGAA
rnacentral:tRNA from 1 species